rnacentral:rRNA from 1 species
CCAAUAGCGUAUAUUAAAGUUGUUGCAGUUAAAAAGCUCGUAGUUGAAUUUUGGAUUCUACCAAUUGGUCCAUCUUUUAGAUGAGUACUGGUUGUGUGGGGUCUAUCCGCCUGGUGAUACGUAAUGUCCUUUAUUGGAUGUUGCGGGUAGUCAGGACCUUUACCUUGAAAAAAUUAGAGUGUUUAAAGCAGGCUUAUGCCGGAAUACAUUAGCAUGGAAUAAUAGAAUAGGACGAAGUUGUUUUAUUUUGUUGGUUUCUAGGACAACCGUAAUGAUUAAUAGGGAUAGUUGGGGGCAUUAGUAUUCAAGUGUCAGAGGUGAAAUUCUUGGAUUUAUUGAAGACUAACUACUGCGAAAGCAUUUGCCAAGGAUGUUUUCAUUAAUCAAGAACGAAAGUUAGGGGAUCGAAGACGAUCAGAUACCGUCGUAGUCUUAACCAUAAACUAUGCCGACUAGGGAUCGGGCGAUGUUGUUUCCAUGACUCGCUCGGCACCUUAUG